rnacentral:lncRNA from 1 species
CCACAGCACGUGGGAGUUCCUGGGCCAGGGAUCAAACCCAUGCCACGGCAACAACCUGAGCUGCUGCAGUGACAACGCCAGAUCAUUAACCUGCUGAGCCUCCAGGCCACUCCUCCUUUUUCAUUUUAGACUGAAGAUAUACUGAGGCUAUCCUGGCAUUGCUUAUCAAGACUCUUUAGGAACCAUUUCUUCUCUGAGGUCCUAUGGCCUCCGACACGAGUCUCCUCUGCUCUCGGCCCCCGCAAACACAUCUGUGUGGCCACUUCACCAGAGCUCAGCCUGCCAAGCAGGAAGUCAAGCCCCUCAUGGGGUCUCCCCAUGGCUACACCGUCCCCUCCUCCCCUCUUAGUCACCUCCUGCCUGCAUCCCUGAGAGUCUUCUGGUCAGAGACAUAGAUGGAUAGGGUCUUGCUUGCAUAAGCUCUAUUCCUCCCAGAAUAUUUUUCUCCUAUAUGAGUCCUUUCUGGUCCCCAAAUAGUCGAGGCUAUUGAAAUCCAAAGGCCAGGGAGAGAAUUCUUUUUUCUUCUCCUUUUUGUCAUCACAGGAAGGGACAUGAGACAAGACAAGUCUGGGAGAAGAAUGGAAGAGUCAGGAAGGAAAAAGAAAGAACAAGUCAGUUGAUAGUUUCAAAAUACGUGCCCACUACAGGUUAUUAGCCAGUCUCAGAAAUGUGGGGCAAGUCGCCCAGAGACACAGACCACUUGCUGAUGAGACAGGGUGAGCCAGAAAUUAGCAUCAAGAAGAUGAGAUGUGAGGAUUCAGACAGCUUUCAUCCAGCGCGUCCGGCUGUGAGUCAGAAUCCCCUGAUCCCCCGCAGAGAAUGUGACUUGAACACAAGCCCCAGGAAAUUGUUCAGCUGCAAUUCUGUCCUCUUUGGAAACAAUUUUCCAGAGGAACAUGCUAAGGCCCAGAGAGAAGAGGCUCUCAGGGAGCCGUCGUGUAUGAUCCAUCUCUGGAUUAGAAUCUCCGUCCAAAGAAAUCGAGACGAUUCAUAGCAAAGUCAUGGCAUCAAGGCUAAAAUAUGGGGCUCAGGGUUCUUUCCCCCAGAAGCCAGCCUACUGUGUCCCUCCUUCCUGUUCACUCCUGGCUACAAAAAAUGUUAUCCAUUUUGACAUUUAUUCCCCAAAAAUUAUCCAGGAGGCCAGUAGGGUUGCAAGAGGAAUGGAAGAGCAUAUGCCCAGAUGUGCCUGCCGUGAGCAAUAAGUGAUAUAAAUACAGGGAGUCCCCAUUGUGGCACAGCAGAAACAAACCCCACUAAUAUCCAUGAAGAUCAGGGUUUGACCCCUGGCCUCGCUCAGUGGGUUAAGGAUCCGGCGUUGCCGUGAGCUGUGGUGUGGGUCACAGAUGUGUCUCGGAUCCCGAAUUGCUAUGGCUCAGGCAGCAAAGAGGGCCCUGCUUCAGUCCCCUUGGCACCCACAUCUCCAACAGUAUCAAAUCUUUAUGCCUGUUUUGCCAAAGGGAGGCCAUUCGGGAAAUGCUUUCUAUAAUCACAACAAAGAGCAGCAACAAUACUCUUUAAAGACCUUAAACUGUGUUCCCCUUCAUUGGUUUCUCUGCCUUGAGCUCUGGCUACCUUGCAGCUCAGGGGCUGGCCAGCCACUUCCAGCUUCUCUGUGGUCCAGUAGGGGCUCUGCUUAUGCUGAGCAGAGGUGGGCAGGGGACCAGAGUGACAAAGUGACCAAAGCCUAGACUAGCACAGAGCAACGAGCAGAGACAAGGCCACAGACAGGAGGCCUGGCACUGCAGGGACCACGCCCACUGCUGCCCCUUUAUACCCCACACCUCCCGGUUCCUGUCUCUUCCUUUCCCUUUCCACCACUCGGAGGAUCCAUCCCGGAGUCUUAUUUGUGGCCCUCGGUGAGAAGCCCCAUUGUCAAAGAGCAUCCAAAGUGUCCCCCCGCCCCAACUCCCAGAAAGCACACCACUCCAGUCCCAGGAUCCAAGAGGCAGCAUUCUUUCAGCCGCGGGUCUGGAAGCCCCAGAUAAGGUUCUAGCGCCACCUAGUGGACUGAUCUGGAAUGCGAGAUGUGGCCACACCCUGUAUCCCGAUGCAGGUGGGGCCAGAUUGGAAUCUGAUUGGAAUUAAGCAAAAUCGCCUCUAAAACUACGACCUCAGUGAUGCUGAGGGCGCACAAAGCACUAAUCCGGACCACAGCUGCCCCUGCUCCCGCGCUGCCUUGCACAGCGUCUGUUAGAAUAUUCUGGGAAUUUCUGGCUGAGGGAGCAGAGGGCAGAUGCAGGUAGAAAAAAAGCACAAGGCAGAAAAAGCAGAGGGUCGGGGGCGCGGGGGGGGGGGGUAGUUUUCUGAGUCACCUGGAAAGAGGUAGACCUUUAACAGAGCUAGCAUUUAUAAAGCUUUCAUUAUGUGCUAGGGUUGAUGUUAAAUGCUUCAUGAACAUUCGUUGCCUCCUUGUAUACCAGGUGGAGACCGUUAAUCAAGAAACAGGCACCAGGUCACGUGCACAGGGCUGAUGAGCUCAGGCCUUGGAUUCGAACCCUGGGGGCCUUAGUCUGAUUUUUGAGCUCGGAAUCACAAAGCUAUAAACGCUUCGACCGCAGUAUGUCACAAAAGACAACCCGCAAGCCCCCAGAUGCCUGCCUGCAUGGGGACCUUGCAUAUUCGAAACCAGUUUGUUGGCUGGUCAGGGUUCUGUACCCCAAGACAGCCGUGAAAAAGCCGUGCAAAUGGACUCACCUAUGACAUCAAGGUCAAGGCUUCCUUUUCAAUGCUCAGAGAUCACAGAUGAUGGCAUCAUGCACCAGGCCAACCCUCUCUUCCCCUCCCAAAACAGCCGCGGCCUCUGGGCCCUGGAUUGGACCGCUUUAACUCUCAAGGCAGACGUGUGGGUCUUGAGAAGCAGGCUUUAAAUUAUGGGGAAAUCAUCAAGCCCACAUUCUAGGACCUCGCCUGCCUUUUCCCUUCCGCUACCCUCUUCCCUAUCCCACCCUCAAAGGUAGUGACGGUGGGGGCUUACCACACGGAGAUCAUGAAAUCCAAACACUCAGGAAGAAGCUCAAGGUCAAGGCAACUCCGGGUUCCGUAGAAAGCACAGGGGUUUGAGCGGCAGGCUGUCCAUGCUUCCCUUAAGAAACUUGGGGCGUUUCCCAAGAGUUUUGCGCCUCCACUUCCGGUCUGUAAGAUGGGGCGGGGCUGGCCAUGCCUGUAAAGCUGUUAGCGCAGCAACUGGCCGCUCAUUCACGCUCAUCGCAUAUUCCUUUAUUCUCCCCACCUGCUGACUCCACUUUAAAUAAAGACGUGCCUUUAGUGACAUGGCUCUUUGUUUUGGAAAAAUGAAAUAAAACUGCGCAAGUCCAAUAGGUCAAUGACCCCUGACCUCCAUGCCUGCGGAUAAUCCAGGCCUGCGGAAAUACAACAAACUGGAAGGCACGUGCCCUCGUAAAUGACCGCGACCCAUUAUCAGCCCAUGGUUCUGCGUAGAAGGCAGACCCAGCACUGCCAGAUCUUCUGAUAGUUUUAACAAAAGCUAGACUGUUAUUAUAAUUUUAGAUGUUAAAGAAAUAGACAUCUUGAAAGGUGGACUCCAUUUGUUUGACGUUUUGAAAUUUACCAAACUAGGCAAGCCUAUAGGUGGAAUUCAGCCUAGGUACACAGGUUUUGCACAUGAGCUUUAAUAUUAAGUUUAUUCAAAUUAUCAGGUGGGCUCUUCAAAGGAUUCCCGCUCCUUGACCUUCUUUCCAGGCCCAGUUAAGGACUGACUCUGCCAGUGAGCCCCCUCAGUCAGCUCCCCCAUCUCCCACAGUGUGUUCUGUAUUUGCCUGGACAAGCUACAGUGUUAUUAGGUAACCUUUCUUGGGUAGCAUCCUAAGUCCUAGGACACAGGACGCUGCUCCCAAGUGAGCCCCGUAUCUCCCCUGCCUGCCUCUAGACUCUGUCAGUGCUAGUUAUGGAUAACAUAGCACCCCCCUGAAUUCUAAUUUCUCUAGCCAUCAUGUUGAUCUUUCUCACUGACAACCAGCAAGGGAGGCUGGGCAAUGUUUACAGAUCCAGUCCUCACAGCCAUCUUCAAACACAGAUGUCCAACCGGGAAUUAGAAAUGCCACGUUGUCUCUCUCUCUACUUAUUCUGCAUUGACCACGUGUUGGUGAGUCCCCCUUGACAGCCUCUGGAAACACUAGCUCUUGACAUCACUUUGCGUACAGCAUCUAGUCGGUGACAAGACUUGAGGACCCUCUCAGUUUGGGUUCCCCUGAAAACAGCUCCUGAGACAGGAUUCGGCUGCAAGUCCUUUAUGUGUGAGCUGAUGUCAGGAAGCACCAGUGAGGGACAGGCAAAGGGAGAGAUGGAAGGGGGAGGGUUAUUAUACCCCAAGAAAAGGGUAAUGGGUAAUGAUCACUGGAGCUUAAACCCACUGGAGACCCUCUCAAUUGUUCCAGUGAGGGGCUUUUUACCUCCAGUUCUCAUCUCUCCCUGGAUGAGAGUCACUCCUGGAGUGCUGACUUCCCACCACCUUCCAGCAGGCUCUGUGGACCCCACAUGCUCCUGAGUCACGGAACGUCCUCAGCAGGGAGAUCUAGGCAGAUAAGGAUGCAGGGAUGUCUGCAGGUGACCCUAGGUGGCUAUGGGGAUAUAGGGUCCUAAAAUAUCCACU